UAUUUUCAUCACUUCGAAAAGAAACUCCGUGCCGUACCCAUUAACAGUCACUCCUCAUUCCCCAGUUCCCCAGCCCUGGCCCCUGACAAUCACUGAUCUCUUUCUGUCUCUAAUGAUUUCUAUAUUCUGGUCCAGUGGGCCCAGGAGCACAAACGUUGAAGCUCAACCAGUUACUUGGCUUCCCAGUGAGGGGACAGGCCCACUACCUUCCUGAACAAAAUUCUGAACUGGAGGGUCUCCAUUUGGUCCAGGUGCUGGGUGGUGAAUUUCAAGAGCAUCAGAGAGACAUCUGAAGGUGACUCAGCCCCUGUGUCCCUGCCUCCCUCCCCUGCCCACCCCAGCCCAUGCAGGCUCUGGAAGUGCACCUUGCUCACUCUGCUCCCCUGCCUGUGGAAGGCAUGAGCAAUGAUGCACCCAGCGAAGGAGUGGGGAGUGGACCUCUAAGGUCAAUGUGGCAAACCCAUCACAGAAAUGCAGGGGAGUUAAGGAUGGUUUAGGAAUGCAUCCAGCAAGGUCGGGGCUGGAAGAGAGUUUGGAGGGCAAAGGAGAG
rnacentral:lncRNA from 1 species